GAAGAAUCUGGAAGGAGAGCUCAAUAUACUGAAAGUGAAGAAUCGUCUUGGACAAUUAAUCUGGACUCCGAGGACGAUAGUCUGGACUUUGAGGAUGAAAUGUAUUAUACAUAAGCAAAGUUAUUGGAUAUGCAAGCUCUUCAAGAACUGAAGCAGGAGAACCUCUCUGAUGAAGAAUAGCAAUCAGAAGAUGAGGACAACAUCUGGCAAAUGAAAAGGCUAAUGACUUCUAAUGUACCCUCUGAAGAAACAAAAGUUACAAGGGAUGAAGAGCUGAAGCAUGGCAACCUCUCUGAUGAAGAAUGGUGAGCAGAAGAUGAAGACAACAUCUGGC